rnacentral:rRNA from 1 species
AUUGAACGCUGGCGGCAUGCCUUACACAUGCAAGUCGAACGGCAGCAUAGGAGCUUGCUCCUGAUGGCGAGUGGCGAACGGGUGAGUAAUAUAUCGGAACGUGCCCUAGAGUGGGGGAUAACUAGUCGAAAGACUAGCUAAUACCGCAUACGAUCUACGGAUGAAAGUGGGGGAUCGCAAGACCUCAUGCUCCUGGAGCGGCCGAUAGCUGAUUAGCUAGUUGGUAGGGUAAAAGCUCACCAAGGCGACGAACAGUAGCUGGGCUGAGAGGACGACCAGCCACACUGGGACUGAGACACGGCCCAGACUCCUGCGGGAGGCAGCAGUGGGGAAUUUUGGACAAUGGGGGCAACCCUGAUCCAGCAAUGCCGCGUGAGUGAAGAAGGCCUUCGGGUUGUAAAGCUCUUUUGUCAGGGAAGAAACGGUUCUGGAUAAUACCUGGGACUAAUGGCGGCACCUGAAGAAUAAGCACCGGCUAACUACGUGCCAGCAGCCGCAGUAAGAC